CCCCUUGUUGGGCUGUCAUGUGUGGGCCACUGAGCCACAGUGAUGGAGCUGAAGGUCUGAGGAG
ensembl:snoRNA